AACUUUAGAUUUCAAUCUGAGAGUGUAACCUGAUGUAAAAUGGGGUUCAUUUGAUAUUCUUCAAAUAGGUUUCUUGUAAUAGUAGGACAGAAACUUUUGCUACGAAAUGAAUUCUCUUGCCCUUUUAUAAAGUGAAUAGAUCUUUUAUGUGUAAGAAAAUGAAAAUCUCUCAUAGAAAAGACUAAUAAGGGGCAGCUCGGUGCACUAAAGCUCCCAGUAUGUAUGGAGUUCAGGGAAGGGCCAAAUCAUAAGGGUUUAUUGUACGGAGUCUUACAUUACAUUUCUGUAAGAGGUUAUUUCCACGACUUGAACCUGUGACUUCCAGAUCACAUGGAAGCAACUUUACUAGUUGCUCCAAGAUUCCCCUUCGAAAAAAAGAUGUCGCAAUAAUCUUUGUGUGUUGUUUAGGGUUGGUGUUUCAGAGUAACCUGAUGGAAAAAGUUGUGGCGGAUUUCUUUUACUAUGCCUCGUUAAAACUUCAGGGAUAUAAAUAUAUAUACAUUGUUAUUGGGUGAAUCUCUUGAAAUGUUCGUGAUAGAUGGUUCAGUAAAUGAUGUUACAUAAUGAAUUCAUUAAGUAGUAUUGAAUUUAAGGUGUUUUGUUUUCAGGGAUGUAUAGUAACUUUAGCUUAGAUCAUGUAUUCAUGUUAAGAAAUCCACUUAAUAUGUAUAAAGAAUUACUUGGUACAUUGUUAUUGCGUGGUAAGGUUUGCGUACAUUCUACCCUCUCCGGACAUCACUUACGGAAUUUCACUGGUUAAUUUUUUGUUGUUGUAUUGUGAUUGAGUGAACCUAUAGAAAUGUUAUAGAUGGUUCAGUAAAUGAUGUAACACAAUGAACUCUCUAAGUAGUAAUGAAUGUUAAUAGUGUUUACUUUGCAGCUGAGUUGCGUGGACUCUUCACUUUUUAUGUCGUACUUGUGUCGGUCGAAUUCUCCAAAAAUACACAACUCUUGGUGAUUCCGACACGCACCCUACUGACAUUUUUGAAGAGUCUGAGGCUUUGCAGGGACAGAUUGUAACUUUAGCUUAGAUCCUGUAUUCGUGUUAGAGUUCACUUAAUCAUAUAUAAAAAGUUAUUUUGACACAUUGUUAUUGGGUGAACCUGUUGAAAUGUUCACAUGGUUCAGUGAAUGAUGUUACACAAUGUACUCUUUAAGCAGUAUUGAAUGUGACCUGUGUUUUAUUUGCAGGGUCUCAGACCCUAUAUUUGUGUUAAGAAAUUCACUUUAUACGUAUAUAAAUUUAUCACAAACCUAGUAAGUAAUAACGGGUAAUGGGGUCUAAGGAACGCCAUAAACUUAGAAUUGUGGAUACCCUUCUGUUUGUUCGAUAUACUAAAUGGAUAUACUACUUGUUUGUAUGUUGUUCACUAGGCUUCUGUUUGUUCGAUAUACUAAAUGGAAAUACUUGUUUGUAUGUUGCUCACUAUGUUUGUUCGAUAUACUAAAUGGAUAUACUUGUUUGUAUGUUGCUCACUAGGCUUCUGUUUGUUCAAUAUGCUAAAUGGAUAUACUUGUUUUAUGCUGUUCACUAGGCUUCUGUUUGUCUGAAACUAAAUGGAAAUACUUGUAUGUUGUACAAUAAGCUUAUAUUUGUUUGAAACUAAAUGGCAAUACUUGUAUGUUGUUUAGGUGAUGUAGUCGUAGUCCCUGAUGCAGUAAAGCAAAAAAAAGAAUAUGACUACAUUAAUUCACAGCCUGAGAUCGGUUGAUUGAAGUUCACCACAAGUUUGAGCUUAAUCCAGAAACUCUUUACCUAACAAUAAACAUUGUUGAUCGCUACCUCACUGUGGAGACUGCAUCAAGGGGGGAACUGCAGUUGGUGGGCAAUUAGUGUCAUGCUUAUAUAGCCUCUAAAUAUGAAGAAAUUUGGGCUCCCGAGGUCAAUGACUUCGUGUGCAUCUCAGACAAAACUUACAGUCACGAGCAGGUGUUAACUGUGGAGAAACAAAUUCUCGGGCAACUAGAAUGGUAUCUGACAGUCCCAACACCCUACGUGUUCCUCGUCCGUUUCAUCAAAGCUUCUUUACCUAAUUCAAAAAUGGAGAACAUGGCGUAUUUUCUGGCUGAGCUGAGGUUGAUGAGUUAUGAAACCAUUAUCUACUGCCCAUCGAUGAUUGCUACCUCUAUUAAAU